rnacentral:rRNA from 1 species
UGGGGAAUUUUGGACGAAUUGGGCGAAAGCCUGAUCCAGCAAUGCCGCGUGUGUGAAGAAGGCCUUCGGGUUGUAAAGCACUUUUGUCCGGAAAGAAAUCCUUGGCUCUAAUACAGUCGGGGGAUGACGGUACCGGAAGAAUAAGCACCGGCUAACUACGUGCCAGCAGCCGCGGUAAUACGUAGGGUGCAAGCGUUAAUCGGAAUUACUGGGCGUAAAGCGUGCGCAGGCGGUUUGCUAAGACCGAUGUGAAAUCCCCGGGCUCAACCUGGGAACUGCAUUGGUGACUGGCAGGCUAGAGUAUGGCAGAGGGGGGUAGAAUUCCACGUGUAGCAGUGAAAUGCGUAGAGAUGUGGAGGAAUACCGAUGGCGAAGGCAGCCCCCUGGGCAAUACUGACGCUCAUGCACGAAAGCGUGGGGAGCAAACAGGAUUAGAUACCCUGGUAGUCCACGCCCUAAA